UACGGUGUCUUUGUCGAGUCGACAUCAUCCGAUCAUCGUGUUGUCCGCGAAGGCGGCCGUGAAUUGUGAUUCCAGAAUUAUUCUGGAUUUUUGGAGAGUCUGAAACCAGCUGAGUCGUUAAUAGAGAUUAUAUAUUUACCAUUUAACUUAUUAAAUUGUUGUUAUUUUUUAUGUCAUUAUUAUAACCACAUUAGUUUCUACGCAUGCCUGUGCGUAGAAAUUGGUGUAGUAAUUGACAAUUUUUAUUACCGAUUAGCAUGUAAAUAGUAAAAUUCAACCCAACGGCAGCCUGCAGGCGAUCGAGCAAUGAGUGACGAUGACAUUAUUGACAGCACAACAUACAAUAAUUCUGUAAAUAUUACUGUUGUCAUCGUCAAGUGACUCGUUAGUCGUUAACUUGUAUCUUCUCGUCUCUCGAUUUUUCGACGUAGUCUGACAUCCGACACGACCGACACUCCGCAACGUCGGCGUUACAGCCGUUUUUGUAAUAUGUGCUGUGCAGUAACCCGAUAAAUUUAUCGCCGGAUGCCGCCAUCCGGUCUCCGACGACGUCAAACUUGAAAAUAUGUGAUGUCGCAUUGUCGAGUUGGGCGAAUGCCAGAUUAAUGUUAAUCAAGACUGAACAAAAAUGUAUGAAUAUUGAAAUAAAUUUAGUCAUGGCAAUUAAAUACAAUGUUUCCAGAGUUGUAUUUUAUGUCAAAAACUCAAUUCAAUACUUUUUAAUCUAGUCCUUAUAAAUAAUAUACAAUUAAUACAAUAUAAGUUAUCCAUCUACAUAGUUAUGUGAUUUAUAAAAAUGCCCAGAAGACCAUUGACAGAUGAACAACGAGAACAAUCUAGAAAACGUCGAUUAGAACGUGAUCGUGAACGACAACGAAAAAGACGUUUAGAUCCAGAGUUGAGAGCAAUUGAACGAGGAAAAAACACAAUUGCUAAAAGAUUAUCUAGAUCUAAAGUGCUUAAUGGUGAUAACAUUAAUAAAUUAUAUUCAGAAGCUAAUAUUGAUUGUAGUAGAAUGACAUCAAUGUUAGAUAACGAAGAUAUUAUAGGUUUAAAAGAUCUCAAUCGAUUAAAAAAAGAAAGAGAUAAAGAAAGACAACGUCAAAGAAGAAUGGAUCCUGAAUUCCGUGCUAAAGAACGUGCAAGAAAUAGAAUAUUGAAAAGAAUUGCUCGACAAAAAAGUUAUUAUACUUUGGAGACUAGCAAAUUUACGUUGUACCAAAUUUGAGUUCAGCGGCCACAGUUUUGUGGUGUAAUUAAUACUGUAGUGAAUUUACCUACUAUUAAAUAUAAAGGUAGUAAAUUGUGAAUGCUGUGGAGAACCAAUAGAAAGUGACCAUGUAUGUUUUUCCAACAUAUUAUCAGUUGAACUCCACGAAAUUG
rnacentral:misc_RNA from 1 species